GCCUGGGUGGCUCAGUCGGUUAAGCAUCUGACUUCAGCUCAGGUCGUGAUCUCAUGGUUCGUGAGUUCGAGCCCCAUGUUGGGCU
rnacentral:tRNA from 1 species